rnacentral:rRNA from 1 species
AGUGAACGCUGGCGGUAGGCCUAACACAUGCAAGUCGAACGGCAGCACAGUAAGAGCUUGCUCUUACGGGUGGCGAGUGGCGGACGGGUGAGGAAUACAUCGGAAUCUACUUUUUCGUGGGGGAUAACGUAGGGAAACUUACGCUAAUACCGCAUACGACCUACGGGUGAAAGCAGGGGAUCUUCGGACCUUGCGCGAUUGAAUGAGCCGAUGUCGGAUUAGCUAGUUGGCGAGGUAAAGGCCCACCAAGGCGACGAUCCGUAGCUGGUCCGAGAGGAUGAUCAGCCACACUGGAACUGAGACACGGUCCAGACUCCUACGGGAGGCAGCAGUGGGGAAUAUUGGACAAUGGGCGCAAGCCUGAUCCAGCCAUACCGCGUGGGUGAAGAAGGCCUUCGGGUUGUAAAGCCCUUUUGUUGGGAAAGAAAAGCAGCAGGUUAAUACCCCGCUGUUCUGACGGUACCCAAAGAAUAAGCACCGGCUAACUUCGUG